UCCCAUGCCCCUGGUCCACCCAUAACCCAUGGUGCAUCACGCUCGAUCGGGUCAACCCCCACCUCCUGUUCCUAUGGAGAGCCGCCGCCGCUAACCGCGUUCCCCAUCUCACCCGCUACUCACACCUCACCUUGGUCACCGUCGGCCUCCCUCUCCAUUACGUCGACUCGGCCCCCAACUCCCGACGACAGACGCGCGGAGAGGAGCCAAACACAAGCCUUGGCUUGGACACGCGCGCGAGGCUUCGAUCGCUCCCAUGCAGGUGAGCCACCGUCGCGGAUGCACGAGGAGUGGUCGUCCCUUCCUCCGGGCACGCACGUGGUGUCGCCCACUGCGCCGCCCGACGCACCACGCACUUCGGCCAGAUUCGCCGCCGCCCCAUCGACCAGGUGUAAUGCUUUAUCUCGCCAGACCUCACUCACCGGACCUCCCACUGCGCAGGACGGCCCCGCCUCCUCUGCAACUUAAGGUUUGUCACUAUCAGCAAAAAAAUAUGCAACUUCUCUUAUCUCCGUGUGCUUCCAUGAUAAGAGUUGGUUCAAAUGGUAACCUCAUUGGCAUUAUGCUAUUUUUCCCUUAGAGCACAAACAAAAGAUUCAGAGGCUCAGGUUCGUGAUGCAUCUAUAGGUGAGAUUUUGAUUUUGUUCAACAUGAGUCAGUAUUGGUUUUGUCCUAUUGUUCGCUUCUUAUUUUGCACCACCCAUUAUCAUUAUCACGGUUUGUUGCACAACAUGGUGGCUGAGCAUGCUUGGAAUGGCGUGCUGAUAGCAAGGAAUUCGGGUGUCGCCUCUCUCUUUCUCCGUUGAUAAGACAUGGUUAUAGACAUGCACUGCAUACUAGAAUGCUAAAACUGAAGAUCAAGACAAGCCUUAUGUCCAUACACCAAUAAAGGAUAGUUAAGAGAAAUGCUAUUACUCGACACUCAUGAAACACUAUAUAUGGUGCCCAUGCAUUCUCCUUGCACGUGAUCUAUGUUACAACCUAGCAAUGUUAUCUCUUUUGAGCUGUAGGAAUUAAAUUAAGGCUCCAGUGUUCCCGUUGUGUGUAUACAAGGG
rnacentral:lncRNA from 1 species